rnacentral:lncRNA from 1 species
GAUAGCCCUUUUCAUUAGCAGAUCCAAAUCUUUCUUUUGGUUAGAUGUUCUAGCCAGGACCUUCGUGAGGACUGUGUGUCUCAUUCCCUUUUUGUCUCUAGCACCUUGAAGCUGCCUCCCACAGAGUGUGAACCCAAAAUAUGUUACGAAUCAAUAAAUGAUCAGGGCAAUGAUUUGUAUACUGCAAUAAUUACUUUGUGAUUGUGGAAAUGUUCUAGCAGCAGAAGCCUCACUUCAGUCGGCUCACUCAAAUAUUACCUUCAAGAAUCAGUGUGAUGCACACCUUUUAACUAGGUUUUACUGGCUUUUAAUGUCUUCAACUGAUCCCAAACUUCACAACUUUUUAAAUUUACAGACUUAACCACUACCAUAGAUACAUAGGUAGGUAGGUAGGUAGGUAGAUAGAUAAUACACUGAGACAAUAAAUAUUGCCAGGGAAGAAAGGCUUUACUUGGACGAUGUCAGGAAAUAGGAAAGAAGUCUCAAAUCCA